rnacentral:rRNA from 1 species
GGCCCUUCGGGGCAUGUGCACGCCCCCCCGAAUCCGAAUCAUAAACCUGUGAACCAACGGCGGAGGAGUUGGGAUUGGGGACCUUGAAGGGCGUCGCCACGGCGAUUAAUGCUCGACGAGGGCCCCUCUCCCCGUCUCGUCUCCUGCUCAUCAUAUACUCUUAAAAGUCAUGUCUAGAAUGUCCUUUGCGUACUCUUGGUCGCAAUUGUAAUACAACUUUCAGCAACGGAUCUCUUGGCUCUCGCAUCGAUGAAGAACGCAGCGAAAUGCGAUAAGUAAUGUGAAUUGCAGAAUUCAGUGAAUCAUCGAAUCUUUGAACGCACCUUGCGCGCUCCGGUAUUCCGGAGCGCAUGCCCGUUUGAGUGUCGUGGUAUCAUCGAACCCCCCCGUUUUGCGACGGUGGUGGCUCGGACUUGGAGGUGUUGCUGGGUCUUUCUAAGGCUCGGCUCCUCUGAAAAGCAUUAGCUGGGACUUUGGUCCGAGGGCUCUGACGUGAUAGUGAUGUUGCGUCGUGGUUCGAGGGCUGCCGUGGUCGCCGCUUAUAACGGUCCGCGAGGACGAGACGGCGUUUUUACGCCUUGACCUUUGACCUCAAAU